rnacentral:rRNA from 1 species
AUUGAACGCUGGCGGCAUGCCUUACACAUGCAAGUCGAACGGUAACAGGUCUUCGGAUGCUGACGAGUGGCGAACGGGUGAGUAAUACAUCGGAACGUGCCCGAUCGUGGGGGAUAACGAAGCGAAAGCUUUGCUAAUACCGCAUAAGAUCUACGGAUGAAAGCAGGGGACCGCAAGGCCUUGCGCGAACGGAGCGGCCGAUGGCAGAUUAGGUAGUUGGUGGGAUAAAAGCUUACCAAGCCGACGAUCUGUAGCUGGUCUGAGAGGACGACCAGCCACACUGGGACUGAGACACGGCCCAGACUCCUACGGGAGGCAGCAGUGGGGAAUUUUGGACAAUGGGCGAAAGCCUGAUCCAGCCAUGCCGCGUGCAGGAUGAAGGCCUUCGGGUUGUAAACUGCUUUUGUACGGAACGAAAAGACUCUGGGUAAUACCUGGGGUCCAUGACGGUACCGGAAGAAUAAGCACCGGCUAACUACGUG